rnacentral:rRNA from 1 species
CCAAUAGCGUAUAUUAAAGUUGUUGCAGUUAAAAAGCUCGUAGUUGAAUUUCGGGACCAAUUUGUUGGUCGUGCCUCGGUACGUACUGGUAUUAUUGGUUUCUCCCUUCUGAAGAACCUCGAUGCCAUUAAUUUGGUGUCGUGGGGAAUCAGGACUGUUACUUUGAAAAAAUUAGAGUGUUUAAAGCAAGCAUACGCUUGAAUACAUUAGCAUGGAAUAAUGAAAUAGGACGUUUGAUUCUAUUUUGUUGGUUUCUAGGAUCGACGUAAUGAUUAAUAGGGAUAGUUGGGGGCAUUAGUAUUCAAUUGGCAGAGGUGAAAUUCUUGGAUUUAUUGAAGACUAACUACUGCGAAAGCAUUUGCCAAGGAUGUUUUCAUUAAUCAAGAACGAAAGGUAGGGGAUCGAAGACGAUCAGAUACCGUCGUAGUCUUAACCAUAAACUAUGCCGACUAGGGAUCGGAUGAUGUUAAUUUUUUAAUGACUCAUUCGGCGCCUUACG